CCUGUCAACACAAGCAAUGACAGAGCUCAGGGAGAAAUCGAGGCUCACAUGUUUUUUUAAAGAACAGCCUAUAUGAGGAUAAAAGGGUAAGCUUAGCUGUCAUACAAAUCAACACAUGAAGGCUGACUGAUUUAACCUCUUCAUGAAAGGCAGCUCCCCCUUACCAGUUAAUUGUUUCUUAUACCUCUGAAAGAAUAUUACACACUUUUUUAAUAAGAAAGCAAAUCUUUGUUAACUUGAUCAGAAAUCUGAAUAUCAUAUGCUUUUAAAAUUUAUUAUUAUUAUUGUUAUUACUAUUAUUACUGUUAUUAUUGUUAUUACUGUCCCCCCGGAAGAAAGUGAGACAGCCAGUUCAGGAUCUAAGAAAAGCGCAGAAUCAGUCCUCCCCUUAAUUGACGAGUUUGGCGGAGGCUGCUAGAGUGACUCACUCUUUCAGUUCUUUGGUUUGGGUUUUAUUCUGUGUGUCUGUGUGUCCUUAGAUGAAGAAGGGACAAGGCACCGAGGCUGUAAUUUCUAGGGCGGGCGGGAGGAGGCAAAACUGUACACACAUUUUCCUCUUUAGUCUCCUCCACUCUUAAGUGAUCUCUCUCUCUCUCUCUCUCUCUCUCUCUCUCUCUCUCUCUCUCUCUCUCCAUGGCCUUUCUUGGAGUUUGCCCCUCCUCACCAAGUACAUUCAGCACACAGCCUGAAGCCUUGCACGAUUUCCUGCUCAUGAAAAUCUUCCAAAGUGACAGUCUUCAGGCACUGGAGCUUUGGUGCCUCCAGGGAAGUGCUGACUCAUUCAGACACAGGGAGAGUCACUAAUUGUGAAGACUUAAGGUUCUUUUAGAAUCUGAUAUUUAGCCUCCUCCUAACAAAGUGGGUAUUUGAGAGCCUCCAUUUCCCACAGUUAACACACACUACCCCCGAUAGAAGGAGCUGAGGAACUGGUAGGAAAGGCAUCUUGAAGGGGAGUAAGAGCCAACCUGGAAAGCUGUUGGUUUCCUGAGGGAGAAGAGGAGGAACCCACUGCUGGAUUCAAUAAAGCUUCCUCGAAAACUCGCCAGUUGUCUUCCGAGGAUCAUUAAAGGAGACGGUUAAGUUUUCUUACUACAGCCAUCAUUAUCAUCACUGUGAAACACACCUAUCUAUCGCUCUCAGAAGAAUGAGACCAUGUGCUAUGAAACUUCUUUGCAGUUAAGCAAUGUAUACUGGUGGAACAUGUACAAACAUACAAGAACAUCGAGGGCUGGUCCCUGAAUGGUUGGACAUCUACAGGCACUGGAGGAGGUGGUCUUGGGAAAGCCUAGGUAUGUGGAUGAUUCUUGAGACUAUAGCAGUGAUGUCAGAAAGAAAACAAGGAAUUGGGAAGGGAAAGCACAAGAAUGUUUCAAGGAGAUAUGUAUGGACAUAUUUUGCUACGUGAAUAUUAAUUGUAAAAGUCAUGGUUUCAUUAUGACAUGGUCAAACAUUUAGACAACAUAUUUUGAUAUAGUCACCCUCUCUUGUUCCUUCUACCCCAUGUUAGCUCCUUUCUCCUCAAACUGUCCCUCUGGGGAUGCUGAAUUAAAAUAUAUUUGGGUCACGUGGUCCCAAACACUCGUGUUCUUCAGACCGCAUCAAUUUACCUGCCUUGUCUCGUGAGUGAGUGCGCUGAAUGUAUAAAAACUCUGCAAGGUUCAGUCUUGCAAUUGGAUUAUGGAUAAAAAUUAACAAGUAUCUUGAGGCAAAAUGAAAAUAAAACAAAUGAAACUCCCACAAAACACGUGCCAACUACAAAGUUGUUGUUUAAGAAAUUUGUACCGAAUUCGAAUACAAAUUAGUCUUCUAUAAUAAAACGUCAAGAAAAGUUGCUAAAUUAUAGCUAGUUAAAUAUGUCAAACCCCAAAUUAUCUGUUACAGUUAAUUUGGACAGUGUUUGAUGGUAAAAGUCCUUAUAUGAAACAAUACAUUUACCCUUUCUCACUAAGAGAAAUAUAAACAAAUUAUAUUGUCUAAGAAAAAUAAUGGAUGCGCUAGGAAGCCCAAAGGAGUUGUGUGUUUAAUGGGUUCCUGGAACAUUACUCUGUGUUAGGGCCUUUGACCGAAUUGUAGAGUCGCCUACAUGACAAAGAAAGGGGAAGACAGAGACAUCUGUGGUAUGCAUUGCUGCCUGCUCCAGUACACACACACACACACACACACACACACACACACACACACACACACACACACACAGGCACAAAUACACACACAUAAAUAUACACACACAUACUCACACACAGACACACACACAGACACACACAGACACACACACAGACACACAGACACACAGACACACAAAUACACACACAGAGGCACAAAUACACACACACAAAUACUCACACACAGACACACACAUACACAUAUAGACACACACAUACACAUAUAGACACACACAUAGACACACACAGACACACACACAGACACACACACACAGACACACAAAUACACACACAGAGGCACAAAUACACACACAAAUACUCACACACAGACACACACAUACACAUAUAGACACACACAUACACAUAUAGACACACACAUAGACACACACAGACACACACACAGACACACACACAGACACACACACACAGACACACACACACAGACACACACACAGACACACACACACAAAUACUCACACACAGACACACACAUACACAUAUAGACACACACAUACACAUAUAGACACACACAGACACACACACAGACACACACACAGACACACACACACAGACACACAAAUACACACACAGAGGCACAAAUACACACACAAAUACACACACACAAAUACUCACACACAGACACACACAUACACAUAUAGACACACACAUACACAUAUAGACACACACAUAGACACACACAGACACACACACAGACACACACACACAAAUACACACACAGAGGCACGAAUACACACACAAAUACACACACACAAAUACUCACACACAGACACACACAUACACAUAUAGACACACACAUACACAUAUAGACACACACAUAGACACACACAGACACACACACAGACACACACACAGACACACACACAGACACACACAGACACACACACAGACACACACACACACAUAGACACACACAUAGACACACACAUAGACACACACAUAGACACACACACAGACACACACAUAGACACACACAGACACAUACACACACAGACACACGCACACAGGCACAUGCACGCGCAGAGUGUCACGUGUCACGUACAUGUUAACCCUCUGUGCAAUCUCGUUUAAAUAAACAAUCAAAUGGAAAAUUAGCCAAGUAAUUUCAAAAGAAGAAGAAGAAAUGUCAGUUAAGCAGUGCAGUGAAGCCUGAACGGAUGAGAAAAGACUAAAAUCCUGCCCGGGUAGAUGCUGAUGCUGGUUUGCAUGGAGGAGUAAUUCUGCUAAAAGGAAGUAAAACCACUUAAUGACAUGUGCUGUCCUAAGAUAGGACAGACAUGGGGCCAGUGUGAGAAUGUGGAAAGCUUCACAGAGACUGCAAAUGUCUCUUCAAAAACAUUGUCUAUGGUGAACUCAGAGACAGUCCAAAAAAAGCCCCAGUCUUUCUACCCACAUUUUAAAACAGCGAUUUGGAGCAGCAGUCAGGAGGGAAAAAGGAAGCACACAUAUAUGGUUUUCCACUCAGUAAACACCUCAGAAGUCAAAAACUGAGUCGUUCUUGAAAUAUGUACUGCUAUUUGGAAAUUACACCAUUUUAGAAGAUUGGUUACAUAGUUUUAAGGUGUCACAUGCAGGUUAACCCUGUGUGAGAUCUGGUUUAAAUAAACAAUCAAAUGGAAAAUUAACCAAGUCCUUUCAAAAGAAGAAGGAUAAAUGGCAGUUAAGCAGCUAAGCAUGACACUUUUUACACUUAUAUUUUUGGAGCAUAAAGUUAUUUUUUAUAGACAAAUAAAUGCUAUUUUUUAUGAGUGAAUUUCUGCUAUUUUUAGAAUAUUGUGCCAGCUAGCAUUUUGGAGCAGUAUAAUAACCAUUUCUGUUUCCAGCCACCAAAUUGUUAUUCUUUUGGCAUAAUAUAGAUUCAGGAAUGUGAGACUGUGGACCCUAGACCAGUGAUAUUGAAACCUAUCAUUUGGAAGUCAAUGAUGAAUACAUGUGUGUGGUUUAUGCUAAGAAGAGGCUGCAUUUAAGUUGGCUGGGAAACCACAGCCUCCUUCUUACUCAGAAAGCUUUGGCGUGUGUGGGGGCCGCUGUCCCACCUUAAGAUAAAUUCACCAGAGAGCACGGUCACAUUUAAGCUGGGGCCCAGGAGGUGGGAAACACCACCUCCCAACAACCUUCUAAUAUACAGAUUCAACUUUCUUGAUGCUAUGUUUUAAAAUUAUACUCCACUUGGACAAUUAUCAAUUUAGACAUGACCAUAUGCAGAUGUCACAUUCUCCUGACCACUUAAAAGGACAAAAAUUAUAACGUAUGGUAAAUGGAUUUCCUGAUUAUAGAUUUUAGGAAAAUGAGGUACAGACUGACUUUAGAGUCCAAUGAAGCUUUUAUAGUUCAUUUGAUUAAAAAUAUUGUUUCUUAUGAAACAAUUUAGGCUUUCACGAUGUAGUCACAUGAAGGAUGACAGAUUCCACCUCUGCUUCUACAAGUAUGUAAUAAACAACAAAACCAGUGUACAUAUUCAAGAUUUGAAAUAUAGUGGCAAUUUUUCCCCGCAGUUAACCUGAAAACAGUUUUCUGCCUUUUCUACUUCGUUUGGUUUUACUCACUCCUACUUUAGGAAGCUGUAAAUUCAGAGCAAGCGCUCCUGGCUGCACACAUUAUGAGGCAGGUACUUGGUUUUGCUCGCACAGCUGAGCAUGCUGAGCUGAGCCCACAGUUCUACAGCUUUCAUAUAUUUGGACAUUUAGGCAUUACGAGCCGUGCCAUUUUCUUUGCUUUCUUUUUUUGUUUUUUUGUUUUGUUUUGUUUUGUUUUAACUUUCAAUUAUAUGCACUAAUAAUUGAAAAGUUGAAACUAAUAUUUGGGCCCAUGGCUAAUUCUUACUCUCUUCCUUCCAUCUCUAAAUCCAACCGGAUAUGAAAUCUUGUCCAAUUCUCUUAAGAAAUAAAAAGGCCUGUUUGCAUUUUUAUUGUUAUCAUUUUUAUAUUGGCUUCAAUCCCCAUUUGGCCAGCCUUUCAAAGUCUUCCACCCAUUUUUUUAUUUUCCAGUUGAAGGGUUUCUCUCCACAUGUUAAGUUGAGCUUCAGGAAAGUCUGCCUGUAUGCAAACUUCCAUGUAAGUGUGUGACGUUGACCAGCACUCUUGGGGACAUCCUUCUAAACUGGCUUUUCUGUCCAAUUCUUCCUUUCAUAGAUGCUUGACACAGUUGAAUCAGGUUACUGCCUGUAUCUCAGGGCUUUCUAUAUUCAACUUGCUCUGACUAACCUAAUUUCCAAUGGCCACAGCCAGGUUCACAGCCUCCGAAGAUGCCUAAGUCUUUGCUCUGUUAGUUCAAUGAUUGGCAGUGUUCACCCUUCCUGUGUCACUUGGAUUUGUCUUUUAAGGAUCGGCCACAGUGGCAGCUCUCUCAGGGUGCCUUUCAGAACCUCUGUCUAUAUCGCAUUGACCCUUCUCUAACUUUCUGCUGCAACUAGAGGCAGUGAUCCUACGUAACUGCUAGUUUGUGUAAUGUUUCAUAUGUUGGAGAAACAUGCAAAGGAAGCUAGAGGGUUAGGAAUUACUCAGAAAUGGCACCCAGAGAUAAGUUACUAGGGAACAGGAGGUGACAACUGAAAAUGUAGCCAUAACAUGUUAAACUUAGUCACCUAGGGUUUCUCCUCUGUCUGCUACUUACAAAACUUUUCUAUUUGGAUCAUCUUUCCAUGUUGGUGGCCAACUGUGCCAAUAAAACAAACUAUCAGCUCAUCUACUGAGUUUGUUUAUAGGAGGUGACUGAACCUUCUCGUCUGUCAUGCCCAUCUGCCACUCUGUCGUGCAUGGCAACGUGCUACUUGGGACAGGGUGAUGUAAGGUAGGCAUUUCCCUUAAGGAAACAGAGACUUUAAGAGGACUCUGAGCUUUCCUGUGACAAGCGUUUUUACUGCCAUGGAUUCUCUCUUGACGUAACUCUCAGAAAUUUACUUAAGCAAAACUUUAUUGAAAAUGGUGGACAGUGCCCACCAAGAAGAAAUAGGGCUCUGUUAGAAGGUUAAGAAAGACUUUUCAGAGACAGGGAGUACAAAACCAUGAGGUUGCUGGAUCCUGACAAUUUGAGAAGGAAAAUAUUCUGGGAAGGCAAAAUACUAACUGUUUUAGAACAUGGAGUUUUCAAUAUUUGAAAAAAUGGGAUUAGUCAAUGCAGUAUCAUGGAACAUGUUAACUUUAUACUAAUCUCUUACUGUCCUGUAGAAAGUGCACAGCCUAUGAAAGCUUCUGAGUGCUUAGCACUGGAAGCAUAACUUGGUGUGUGUGUCUUAAAAGGGGUUAGGCUACCCUCAGGGAAGCUGAGUAGGAUGCACAGAACUCACUAAGCAUGAGGUCCAGAUGAGACAGCAGAGACGGGGACAGCAGAGAUGGCAGUCAGGAGCUGGCCAUGAAGAGGGCUAAAGCAGAUCAACUCAGGUUCUAAUGCUGCUUCUAUCAAAGUUCCCUCAACUGGAGGGAGCUUUUGGCUUCUCAGUACUGGGUUAGGCAAGAGAAGCCUCAGUGGGAUGUGAGGCAGAGGCGCACUUUGUCAACUGGCCGUAUAACAAUAGCAACGGUAGCAAACACCUGGAAGCUUCGUCUGUCAAAUCCUCUGACAUCGAGCAUACACAUUGUCUCCCCACAGCAGUACCAGGUAACUCAUAAUUGCCACGAGGUUGGUAUCAAACAUGGACAGACGGAAAAGACCUUUAAUCCUCAAAGGAGUAAUGCUGUGACAUAUUAAAAGUACCUCAUUAUUUGCAUAAUGAAAGAAGAGCAAAGAACAGGGAGGCCUAGUGACCCACUCAGCAUCAAAGAACCAUCCCCUUACGGAGGCAUGACGUCAGCUUGAGCGGUGUGUCUAGGACCUGCGUAUGCUGCCUUGUUCCCUGAAGAUCAGGCUCUAGAGUCUAAAGGCUUUUACAUAGUGUCUCACUCUGAAGGAUUACAAAGGAAGAGAACUGUGAGACAGGGGACUUAGCUAAAGGAGAGGUGGAACUUUGAAGGCCACAUUACUGGGCACUGCAGAUAGUAAGAAUGAUACUGUGGAGGGUAGCCUAGGAACAGAACUCCUGCCUGGGAAUGGAGAAGCCCCGGGUUUAACUCUUAGCAUCACAAGCUAAAAUCAAGCAAGGCAAAAUAAGGCAAACCAAACCCAGACAAACUAAGACUGGUUUGGGAGACAAUUUAUAUAGAAAGGCAGAGAAUGACGAUGCGGAAAGCUGUAUUUCUGGUCUCUCUGAGAACACUUGCAAUAGACAGGGUAUGAUGGGUUUAGACGUACGAUGCAGUGGAACAGCUGCUUAGUGCAUUGUGUUGGGUGGAUGACUGAAUAUACAUUACAACGACAUUUCAUAAAAUUUUUAUCAAGAGUAAAGAUAUUUACCAAUUUACUUUCAAUCAAAAGGAGCAGCUUCUAUUAGAGCCACUUAACACAACAUAAAAGUGCCUAGUAUCUCAGGGUACCCAUUAUUAGCUCUUUUGAAAACAAUUUCUAACUUAGAGGUGUUAUCAGAAUUUAGAAUCCCCCUGUGUGGUGACUCGUCAGUAGCAUCUGAUUUGGGUGAGUUUGGGGGAAACUGCCACAGGGAGACAUUAAGGUGAACACACGGCUAAACAUCUCACGUAUCGAUUUGUUGUACUCUCCUCUGCUAAGUGUUUGACCCACUUAGACUUCUUGUAAUUUUAAUUUGUUUGAUGCUGGUGAUUGAAUCCAAGACCUUACAUAUGCUAAGCACAUGCUCUUAUGAGUUGCCUAUAGCUCCUUAAAUUUUUCUUUUAUUAGAAUCAGUUUGAAAAUACUUUCCAUACAUUGCCUAGUUAAAUAGGAGCUGCCGUAUUUAUGUAAACACUGUUACCACCAUCAUUGAAUUUUACAUUCGACUUUAAAAAGUUUUAAGACUGCAAGUGAGCUUCUUAACAAAAGGUGUUAGCUUUUGUCUCAAACCUGAAUAUAUCUUUAAAUGAUGACCUCAAAUUGUAUAUAGUCAACUUGGAAAGACUACCCCAUACUUUACUGAAUAGACAUUCUUGAACAAUUUCUCUGGAGGAGGAUUUGGCUUUCUAGAUUGCAGUCUUAUAUUACUGUGCACUGAAUGCCUGAACCCCAUUAAGAAUUUUAAAAAAAUGUGUUUUUCAGCUGUUGUAAAUCAAAAUAAGGGGUUUUAUUUUAAUUUUUUAAAACAGAAUUCAUUUUUGUGGAUGGCUCUAAGAGAAGAAGCAACCAUGUGACAUUUUAGGACUGAGGUCUGGAAAUGAUGAAGGUCUCAGCAUGCCUGCUGUAGAUGGAUUAAAUCAGAUCUCUGGUUCUUGUCCUACUAAAGAUUCCUGAUUACAGAUUCCUAUCCUCAGAAUCCCGUUUCUCCUCUUUCUGGGGCUUCUCAAUGAAAGUAGAAUAACAUAUAACUGUUAUUAUAUUUUAUAUUAUAUGUUAGAAUAUUUAUAUAUUACAAGUUAGGGAGAACGAGACAGAAGAGAAGGAACAAUGACUUGUGUGUGCAUGUGUGUGUGUGUGUGUGUGUGUGUGUGUGUGUGUGUGUGUGUGUCUGUGUCUGUGUCUGUGUCUGUGUGUCUGUGUCUGUGUUUAAGACGCAGAGGCUAACAUCAUGCUUCUCUCCUUGUUUUAAGAAAGGGUCUCUCACUGAGCCUGGAGACCACCAAGUUGGCUAGAUUGCCUAGCCAGGGAUCUUCUUGUCUCUGUCACCCAAACCCUGGGGUUACAGGCCUGCCUGCCCUUCACCUUAGUUCUCGAGAACUGUCUUGGCUCCUCUUUUAUGGUGCCAGACAUUAUGGACUGAGCCUUUUCCCCAGCGUAGCACAGUGUUUUGCUAGAAGAUAUUCUGUGAAAUUCAUGGGUUUACUCAUGAUGCUGAAGUGAGUGGGUUCUCCAAAGAAGGGGAACCCACGUUAAAGAUGCCUGUGCUCUCUUUUGUCCUAAUCAUCACUCGGGUCUUGCACUGCCACCCAACUUUUAAUGAUUGAGGAAACUGAAGCUAAGGAGGCGUCUGUGAUCCCUGGGCAGCGAAUACGAGAGCUUUGAUAUAAAUCCAAACGCCGGCCUCUGCUGCUUCACUAAAAGGCCAGAUGUUUGAAAUUUAGCAUGCUCUGCGUAGUUGCCUCAUCUCUGAAAAGGCCUUCAUUCGUAAGGUGGAAAGAAGAGGACAAUCUGACUUUCCCAUACGCUGAGGCUCUCAGAAUAUCCUCAUGCUUUGGGUACUGACUUACUUAAAGGAUAGUUUUUAAUGGCGCCACAAAAAUGGCAUCAAACUUCACUAUCUUAAAAAAAAAUUCCAUUUAACCGUGAAUGAUAGAUUUAUGACUCAUUUAACUGUUCACUUCUUGAGAUUUUUUUGGGGACUGUCUCUUUGAUAAAAAUGAGGGGGUGUUUUCAUUAUUGACACAAUCAUUCAUUCUUUCAGUCAUUUUUCCUAAACAAAAAUAUUGAGACAGUGUAAAUUAGGGAGAACAUGACAGAAGAGAAGGCAUAAUGACUUGUGGUUUUAACAUUUACACAACUGCUUUGAACACAUCCGAAGUUCAUAACGUUCAAAGAGAAAUGCGUGGCACUGCUCCCUGCGCUCGCACGCUGGCUCAGAGUUAAUACUGUACCCGCUUCACCCACACUUCCAAGGAUGCAGCUUAGACCUGGCAUUGUGUGAAGACAGCUCCUGUGCUCCUGCUGUGUGUUGUGACUUAACGAAGCCCCACUUUUUCUCAGUAAGAAAACCAAGGAUGUGGGUAUUUGUGACACUAAGGAAAGCCAACUUGUACUCACAAGCACGUACUCUGGGGGAGGAACUGUGUUGGUGCUUUUGCUUCAGAUCUCAUGGGACUGACUCCUGCAUCAAUUUCAACUUUAAAGAAGCUUCAAUAUCAGGAGGACGUGGUUCAGAAGAACCCUCAUGAAUCAGUGCCUUACCUUCUAUGGGCUUUGGGUUAUUUUAUUAUUUUCAAUGUAUGCCAAUGUAUGCAUAUUUUCCCAAAGCAAGUUAUUUCCAAGGCAAAACUCUGCUUUAUGACCUUAUUGUUUUCAUUAAACUUAAUAUUAGUGCUAACUAAAAACCGUUCUUUUCAUAUUUGCUAUGCAAAUGAGCACUAUCAUAUUUGAAUAUGUAAAUCAGCCACAGACAGACUUGCUCCUGCUGCUGUAACAACUGUGUUAAUCCAUCAGGUUCCCCUUCUGGUUCAGAAAAAAAAAAAAAAAGAGUCCAUUCUUUGGCAUAAUGUGGAUGAAAAAUUGUGAAGGGAUGACAUCGUGCUUAGGAAGUCGUUUGAACACUUCAAUACUUGAGUUCAAACAAUUGAAACGGUGCCAUCAUAAGUAAACCUUGUAAAUCCUUAGCGUCCACAGACACGUUUAUGCAAACUAAGACUGUUGCUCAAGACUUUAGUAUCUCCAGUUCUACUUCUUCAAAAUAACCAAUGUCUUCCAAACAGGAGGUGCCAUGAUGGCAUACUCAUUGAGUCGAAAUCAACUGAAAUAUAUUAUGUAAGUCUAAUUACAAAAUUUAAGUCCUUGGAAAAAUAAACUUUCCAAAUUUAGAAAACUAUGCUCUCGGCUGUCUCAUAGUGGCAAAUGAAGAAGCCCAUAGAAGGUAAGGCACUGAUUCAUGAGAGGUCCUUUUGAACCACAUCCUCCUUCAGCAGCUGCUGUCUACUUAUGCAUAAUGUAAAUUCCUCAGGGUCAUAUAUGCAGAUAUAUGUAUGUAUAUAUAUGUAUAUGUACAUGUAUAUAUAUGUAUAUAUACAUGUGUGUGUGUGUAUGUGUGUGUGUGUGUGUGUGUGUGUGUGUGUAUGUUAUCUACAAAUACAAUCUCAGGGUGAGAUGGUUCACUGGGUAAAGUUGCCUACUACUAAGCUGGCCAACCUCAGUUUAGUUCCUGAGAUCCACAUUAUGGAAGGAGAGACUCAACUCUUUUCAGUUGUCCUCGGUAAACCAGGCAAGUGCCAUGGCCUUCCCCCUGAUGCACAAGUAAAUAAAUAGUUGUAACAAAAUUUAUAUAAAAACUAAAUAUAAGCUAUGGGAAGCAAAAUAAAUAAAUAAAUAAAUAAAUAAAUAAAUAAGUAAAUAAAUAAACAAGUACAUAAACCUUACGGUGAUGUCAUAAUAGGACAGAGAGAAAGAUAGAGUAGUGGACCAGGUAAUUUAAAAGGCAUUCAUAAGAAAGGGAGACUCAGAUUUUAAGGAGAACUAAUAUUUGGGGGGCAUAUUAACUGUUUAAACCUAAAACAAAAUUAUCAAAGUUUUAUUAGUAAUCACACUCUUACAUUAAAUUCAUAGGAUAUCUAUGAAGAUGUAACUUUUCAUAAUGCUUUACUAAACGUAAAUGAUAGGCAGGUAACUAAAAAAUACUGUGAAAGCUGGGCACAGUGGUACACAUACAUCUGUAGCCACAGCGAAACAGAAAGAUCAGAGGUGGGAAUCACUUUAGUACGUGAGCUGUGAGUAGCCUGGGCCACAGGAAAACACUGUUAUAAGCAAACAAACAUAGUUUGGGAAUGCAGAACUACUGAUCAAAGAAGGUAUCCCAACAUCUGCUUGAAGAUGCUAGAGCAAUGGUUCUCAACUUGUGGGUCACAACCCUUGGGAGGGGCUAUCAACCCUUUCACAGGGGUACCCUAAGACCGUCAGAAAACACAGAUAUUUAUAGCAUGAUUUAUAGCAGUAUGAUUCAUAGCAUUACUGUUACGAAGUUGUAAGUAUGGUUGAUGGUCAUAGCAUUAGGAAGGUUGAGAACCGCUGCUCUAGGAAGCUAUGACCUGAGAUUUUCCUUUCUUUCUAUGGAAAUCGAACUCCUUAGGUGCUAAAGCAGAAACCAGGAGUUCAGGUAGGCCGUAUGUGCUGAGCUAGCUGUGGCGUUUUCCCUUAAGUCUCCCUUUAGACUUGCCUUCCCCAGACUAGCAUCAACCCCUGGAGAAUGGUGGGAGGGCUCCGCUUUAUCUACACCCUGUCAGGUCUUGUACAUGGAAAGUGGACACUGAUUUUCCUGGCAGGGAUUGUGUAUCUCGUGCUCUAGAUUAUUCAAUCAGAAGACCAAGUGUGCCACCCCCUUAGUAAAUCUUGCUAACCUUGAUUUAGGUUAAAAGUAUCAUUGGUAUUUAGUUUCUUAGAUAAUAAUUAAAGCAAGGCUGUAGGAUCUUUAUUUUCAUUUUGGAAACUUGCAAGGUAAAACUGAAAGUGAAUUUAGAGUUUCUUUUUCUUUCUCUUCUGAAUAAUAUAAGCUAACAGAAUAAUACUUUUACAGCAGAACAUAACAAUUAGCCCAUUUUCCCUCAUAUGCUACCUAAUGAUAUUUUUAAGAUAAAAAAUAUGGCUGGUAAUACACCUCAACCCUCAAAAUAAAUUGAAAUAUAAACUAUAUUUUUAUACUAAGAUUAUUUUUCUUAUUGGAGAGCAAUCAAUUGGUAUAUUUCUCUUCUAGAACACAGCAAUUUGAAUUUUGUUGUUGAUUUUUUAAAAGCAAAAUGCCAACAUAUUAAGCCAUCUUUGUAGGAUGAAAUUUUAAUCACUUUAUCAAUUUUUAAAAAUCAUUGAGUAAGAAUGUAUAGACGUGUUUGGGGAGAUAGGCCACCUCAGAACUCUGUAAGCAUUCCACAUUCAUGACUCUUCUAAGUCCAUUCUACGCUGCAGUGUAUUAGUUUUUUUCUUUUCACUGCCAUGUGAAAAACUGCUUUUCAAGAGAGUUUCUCUGUGCAGUCAGUCCUGGCUGUCCUGGAGCUUUCUCUGUGUAUAGAACAGGCUGGCCUCAAACUCAGAGAUCUGCUUGCCUCUCUGCUACAUGAAUUUUAAGAAGUAUAAACUUUCGCAAUCAUGCUAACACAAUGCAUUGUCUGUAAAUGGAUUAGAACGGUAAUUGUGUCUUAGCUUCAUUGUGAGUACUCAGCUCAAGGUAUUAUGAGGGAAGCUCUUCCUAGGCCUGCCUCCAGUCUGGAAAGCAGUCUCUGUUAUUUAUCUCUCUGUGUAUCCAUGGCAGUUCUUUGCCAUCCAUAUAUCUCCACCUAUUUAGCUGAUGUAAAUUAAGCAUUCUAGAAGUGGCAAUGCUUGACAGCCAAACUUGUAAAACAGUAAACAAUUGACAAUCAAAAUAACGAAACAGCUGUUGGUUUCUUUUUUUUUUCUUUAUAAAAAAUGAUAUGUAAUUUACAAUGAAUGCCAAUUAAAAUUAUUAACCAAUAUACUUAAAUUUUCUUUGUCUUAUUGUCAAAUAGCUAUGUGAAUUACCACAGUUUCUUAAUUUUUCCAAAGGAUUUCUGAAGCUCCCCCUGACCCAGAUUAAAUCCUAAUCGUGAAUCAUAAGUAUGUGAGACUUCUGCACUGUAAAAGUUCUGGAACUUUUUCUGUACCACUCACGGAAGCAGUAAAAACCUAAUACCCAGAAGAGAUACCACCUCCAACAGAUCAUUACGAGUGAAAAUACUGCUCAAAGACAUGCCAGAGGACUCGUGGUAUCACGGCAUAUAGCCUUUAUCAUGAAAAAUUGGGUUUGUGUGUGUACACACACAAAAGAUUCCUAUGAGCCUUCUGAGGUUUUCGGUAAGAGGUGUCCAAGUUUAAAUGUGUGUUUGUUUGUGGCUCACAUCUAGUUUGUUCUUGUUGCCUUCAUUAUUACCAGUUGUUUUCUUUAGAAUUUCCUGCAGCUAUCUGUAACUGGUCGAUUGGCUGGCCUGAAUCAUACAUGUGUCUGCAGUAACACUGUGUUUAUGUUGUGUUAACUAUACUAUGUUCUCUGUUUAUAUCUAUGCCCUCAUAGUCUUCAUUUCAUGCCUUUAUUUCCUUCUGUGUUAUUGAUACUAUAAUAUUGGUAAAAGCAGAUGUUUUACAACUUUCAAAUGACUUUGACUUUUCCUCAUUUUUAAGGGAAAUAAAAAUGCUCAUGUGAUA